GCACCUGUGUGGGUCAAGCCAAUCUUGCUUCUGUCUCUCCUGGGCCACUGCACUCCUACAAGAUGAUAGGCGCCAUGAGCUGGAGUCAGCAUCACAGGAGUCAGAGUCCUUGCAUCCGAACAGCCCAGCAUCACUAGGACGUUUCAGCGCACAGAGGCUGCUGUCUAAGAGCUGUUUAUGCAACUUUCUCUGAGGUACCUGGUCCAGGCCACACGGGUUCCUGGGCUGAUGCGAGCUGGAAGUACCUGUGUUUCAAGGUCAAACAUCUCAGAAGAUCUCUGAUGCUCCAGACAAAAAGUCCACAACCUUCAAAAGAAAAUAAAACCCAAGGCGCAUGUAGGUAUGAAACGGAGCAGGAUGUUAAAUACGCAACCUACGUCAGCAAGGAGCUUGCUCUUAAUCAACCAUCCACCUGAAAUACCUGGGGGCAAGGAAGGAGGCUGCGGGAACGUGUUGCAACAGACUGAAGCCAUCUCAGAGGAGAGCUGCCACACAAACGGCGAGCCGGAAGGGUGGCUUCAGAAGCCACUUGUUAAACGUCUCCCGUUUGAUCCCCACGCGCCAGAAGCAGGAUGAAAAUGUUAAUUCCAAGAAAGUCCCCCUCCUCACUCCAGCAGGUUUAUUAUCCUAAUUGACUUACGGCGCUCGGUUCUAAAUUAGCCUGCUUGGAAAUGUGAUCGGCACCGCCCAACAUGGCAAGAUCUCCAAAGGGGCUGUGCUAACAAAUACAGCUGAAGACAGCCAUGUGAUGUUAAUAUAAACCUCCUCUGUCAGCUUGGAGAGGCACCAGGAAAUCGCCCAGGAAUGCUUUUUGCAGCGCCUGUCUCCGCUCGGUGCCACGCGGUGGCAUUUGUCAGGCGCACUCAGCCGCGGCUCUCCGGAGGGCAUGGACCCUGUCUGGGUCACCGUAACAUGUGUCGUGUUGUGUCUGAGCACAUCGAUGACUUUUUAAUGUAAAAAAAAAAAAAAAAUUAAAAAAAAAAAAAUAUAAAAAAAGGAAGUGAUUCUGGGUUACAAAAAGCGACCCCAAAACCAGUUCCUGUCAUUCUGGCUCAUCCAUAAGGAUCCGGCCAUCGCAUAAGUGAUACUUGAGUCAUGAUAAAAAGAGAACUGCAGUUCUCUUUACAUUUCAAGGGUAAUUUCUCUUUGAGCCCCUCAUCAAAAUCGCCACACUGGAAUAAACAUAAAAACCAUGGAACUCAGGCGUAUUCUUAUUUGGGAUCACUUCAUUUAAGAAAGGAGGAAAAUUGAUUUUAAAGUCUGAUGCAAUUUCUUUUGUGGUCAUGCAGUUUAAGUUUGCAUUUCACUGUGUUUGCCUCAGCAACAUGUUUAAUUUCUUUCUUUUUUAUAUUUAAUUUUAUUUUCUGUUUUUUAUGAAGUCCCACAAUGAUGUUUUUUUUUUUUUUGUGGUGAGCUGUCAUGGUGUUACCAAUGCAUCUGAAAUAUUACAGGCAGAAAGACAGCCACUUGAAAGCAGUAAUGAGGCAAGUCUAACCUAGCUUUUAUUUCCUAUAUGUAUUUUGUCCUAUAUAAAGUUAUACAAAGAGUAAAGCUUUCAUCCCAAUACUGCAACUGCUUGUAAAUAUAUUUAGUUUUAUUAUGCAGCAGCACAAGCUGAUUACAUCUAUAAUACAGAGGUAUAAGCCCUAGCUUUUGAACAUAAUUUAGAAAUACAUCUAGAGAAAAGGAAAUAAAAGCACAAUUUGCAAAUGUUGUACAAGUUUUCCCUCUGUAUCUUGUGAUACCAAACAUCUUUUAAAACCCUACCCCAAAUGAUUUAGGAGCAAAAGUCCCACUAACUGAGAUAAGAGCCUAAAUCAGUCAAAUGUGGCAGAAGGUGAUUACAUUCCUGACGGGUCCUUUUCAAUUGUAUUUUCACAUGUUUAUUUUCACUCUGAUGUAGAUAGACUGACUGUUCCUUAGCAUGUUGGGAGCCGAGUGCAUAUUUAGCUCUGCUAUGUGCACUGCCGGCAUUUUUGGGGUUACUUAAAUGUAGGUCAAAUCAGAGAGGACUUGGAAGAAGUAUGGUGGAGGCAAAAUUGAGGGAGGAAAGGUCGUGCGCAGCACGAUGCAACACAGAUGGCCGCUUUAUCGCUAGGACCGUGUGGCAGGAUCCAAACUCAUCUGACAGUCGUCUGGUGUCAUGAUACAAAACUUUUUCAGGGACUGCUGAACCUCUGAAAGUAUCUGGGUGUGUUCGGCAUGAUGUUCACGCUUCGCUGACCUUGCAGAAGCCUUGGAGUAGUUGCAGUUUCAAGUCUAGUUUUGCAAAUGAAGAGGUUUGGUGCAAUGCUUGUGGUGGGAUGGAGAUCCAGCCACACAUUUUGGUGCUUGCCAGGUCUCUCAACCCAGACUCACCAGGUUUCUAUAGGUUUCCAGAGAGCAGAUGGACAUUUUGUGAGUCCCACCUUGCCUGGCAUCUCUGCAGGGGUGAGAACAACUCAACAGAACUUCUUCUCUGUGGAUCAGCCCUUACGUUCCUCCUGCUCAACGACUACGCAGAAAUCAAGAAUGAAGUGACUGGAGGAUUUACAUUGGAACUAGAUCCCCAUGGAUCAGAACAUGAAUAACACCUCCAUCCCCUCCCAAAUCUUCCAGGCCUGACCUUUCACAAUCUCCAUUUCCUGACCAAUGACUCCAAAGAAAAUAGAGCUGCUAGUUGGUAUUUAAUGGAAAUCUGUGCAAAACUUGUCAAAAUACACCACCAUGCCUGUCAGAUGCCUGGGACAAGACCUCUACAGUAGUUUCCAGAAACCUAGUGCAAUUACUUACAUUUUAAAUUAUCUUUAAUUGUCGCAUGUGAGCUACAGAAACAUUUUUUCCCCACUCCGAAGCAAGACCUCGCUAUUAAGAGUCACCCCAUAAUUGCAGCUUUAAUAGGGGGACCGCAGCAGGUCAGCCACGAAGGUUAGCGCAGGGCGCAGCGAGGCGAGAGCGGCUGCUGAACGCCAGUAAGUGGAAGUGACACAUCACAAUAGUCCCAUCAAUUAUGUAGGGGCAGUUUGGAGUGCAAACUUUUUAGUGAAUCUAAUUACCUCGCCAGAUGUUUUAAUCCAAUCUCCUUGCCUCUCCUCUGCCGUCAAAUACUACAUUGGGUUUUGAGUUCCUGAUAUGAAAAAUUUACCUUAACUAUAGAAUCUAGAAGAAACUUGUUUGUUUUGUUUUUUUUUUUUUUUUUUUUUUUUCUGGAACUGAGCAUCCUUUUGCUAUCUGAGAGAUUAUUCAGGUUCACGUGUGACUCGGUGCUCAUGGGAUUGCACUGAAUCAGAAUGAAUGCGCUCCUGAAUUGAUAAGGGUGUCACAAAGGGUGCAAGACUGAUGGAAAAAUAGAUUAAAUGGUGUAAAUGUGCUCAAGAGCUGAAUGACAACUGUUAGCCCGGCAAUGCCAAAUUUAAGCAGGCCCUGUCAGUGACGUUAGAGAUGCUGCACCAGAUUUUCCAAGGCUGUUUGCAACUUGACCUAAUGUUCCUGUUGACACAAAACCUUGAAAGCGCAGCUAAAAGCAGGAUAGCUGAACACUCCUGAUUCGCUCACAGAUUGCGGUCAGAACUGAGCAUGAAAGAAAAUAUUUGCCUAUGCAUCCAGGAGAGGAGAAAAUAGUGAAUUAACUGUGCACACAGAUGCAUGAUAUUACCUUCUAGAAGUGCAGCGGGGGGAAGGAACCUACCAGCAUUGGGGGGAGUUUCCCUGUCACUCAGUAAAUGGUGAUUUUUAGUUUGGUGGGAAAUCUGUGUGUGCACAUGUAACACGUUGAUCAGUCUUCAGCCUGGACUGUGGUGCAUGGAAAAAAAAAUCUCCGUCUUUGACAAUUUAAAACUCUAGCAUGCAAAAAACCCAACCCAAAUCAGAGGAGCCUCAAACUGUUCAUUGUUAGAACUCCAGCUGAACUAUUUGAUGGCCUUUAUUUUCACCAGCUUGUCACAUUAAUAGUUGCUUUUCUUCCCUUCUUGCCCCAUCCCGCUCCCCAGUGAGAGACCAUUCAGACUUGUACCAGGCACAACGUUAGUUGCAUGCUCUUGGGAGGGAAACACGCAGAGCAAACAAUGAAACAAGGCUGUUUAUAAAGCCUUCAACACAUUAGGCAGUGGAGAAGAGCCCAAGUUUCCAUGUAAAGGCCUGAAUGGACAAGCAUGAUGUGAAACACAUGGAAAAUGUGGAAUAUGUAAUAAAAUUAUAAAUAAAACAAAUACAAUAA